ensembl:lncRNA
GCCAGCUAUGCCACAAUCAGAGGCACAGCCAUCCAUGCCACAGUCAGAGGCACAGCCAGCUAUGCCACAAUCAGAGGCACAGCCAUCCAUGCCACAGUCAGAGGCACAGCCAUCCAUGCCACAGUCAGAGGCACAGCCAUCCAUGCCACAGUCAGAGGCACAGCCAUCCAUGCCACAGUCAGAGGCACAGCCAGCCAUGCCACAGUCAGAGGCACAGCCAGCCAUGCCACAGUCAGAGGCACAGCCAGCCAUGCCACAGUCAGAGGCAGAGAGAAUUAGUGCACACUGUAGGCUCGUUUGUUUGCUCAGUGCAGUCUUUUCACUCAUAGAAUGGAGGACCCGCUGCUGAGGGAAUAGUAAGACUGUCCAUUGUCCAAUCCAGUGAGUUUGUAGUCCCUGGACGUAGCAUGUUUGGGAAAGUGGCUGGGAAGUGGAAUGUCCCCACCCUUGGUAGUGAGAGAUGCUGCUGAGUACAAACUAUCCCCUAAAUGGGGAAGCCUACAGGAAGGAGACUUUAUCAGCAGAUAAGGCAAAAAAUAAUAAAAUUAGUAAAAAGGAAGCUAAAGAUGCUAACUUGCACAUUCUACGCUGGUAGGGUGAAAAAAAAAAAACACCCCACAGACGUCAGUUCCACACGGGGCUAGAGAGCUUAUCCUGAGCUCCAAAGCCAUGGGCACGUGGGGAGACAGAUCCAGGUAGUGGGGGUCCGCGAUACGAAGAGUAGCUGAUUUAAAGGCUUGGCACUUCCAUGAAAGAGACAGUAUCUAUUUCAGCAUUAACAACAGCCCCAUACAAGGAAAUUUGGUGUCCCCAAAGUUUCCCUUCCUGAUCUAGUAAAAUUAGGGGCAGCGUUACGCAGGCUCAUGGGAACCCCUGUGGUGUGUCUGCAGGAUGUGAGAGUGAGGAGGGGAGUGCAGCAGAGGAGGUGAGGCCGCCCCACGCACCCCUUUGCUGCCUUCUGGUGAACUUUAAAUGCCAGUUUGACAGAACCCAGAGUUUCAGGGGAACAGAAACUCAGCUGAGGAGUUGUCUACAUCAGAUUGGCCAGUGGGCAUGACUCUGGGGGGUUUCCCUGGUUGACCGUACUUACUAUCUUAGGCUGUGCCACCCUAGGCAGGCGGUCCCAGCCGCAUAAGAAAGCUGAGCACAGCCCACACCUGCCAGUUAGCAGCCAUGUCUUUCAUGGUCCCUGCCAAACUUCUCUGUGUCCUUGGUCAUAUGUGUGGGGUGACAAGCAGGCAACGUGGACACAUUCAUUUCUCUUGACUGUGGACGUGGUGUGAGCAGCUGUCUCAGGCUCCCGCCACCGUGGCUUCCCUCCGUGAUGGACUGACUGUACCCUGGAAUUGUAAGCCAGAUAGACUUUCCCAUCCCUGCUUUAUGUUUUGGCUAAAGUGCUUUAUCUCAGCAAUAGAAAAGAAACUAGAACACAUUGCUAGGGUGAUUUGCAGCAACAUGAGGGGAAUCCACCUGUGAGACCUUAGAUAGUGGGUCUGCAUAGCUAAUGUGGUGGGCUGUGGACAAAGGCAAGGCCUUAGAGUGCACAGUUAGGAAUCAAAAGGUGCAGUGUGUUUAAGCUGUUGCUGCCAGUGCACACUCUGGCUUUGUCACAUGAGUCUGCCGCAGCCUUGUUUCUGAACAGGUAAGGUCACCCCACCCUGUGGACCACGGAACCAUGGUCCAAUUACAGGAAACAAAGACACUAUUGUCCUCAGUGUGUAAGCCUGCCUUUGGAUUACACUAUGCUAGAGUGGUUUUAAAGGCUGAAGGACGACUCAGCAAUUCACAGCACCAACUGUUCUUGGAGAGGACGGGGGUUCAGCUCCCACCACUUACACAAUGGCUCACAACUGUCUGUAACUCCAGGUCCUGGGAACUGAUGCUUCUUCUGGCCCCCAGUGGCACCAAACACACCAUGGCACACAGAUAUGCAUUCAGGCACUCCCACAAAAUAAAAAAAUAUUUUAAAACUUGGUAUUUGAGUUGCUGACUUAAGUCUUACAAAAGCAAAGAACUGCUCCAGCAGGGGAUCCAGUUGGUUAGAACACAUGAAACCCUGAGUUUUGUAGUCAGCACUGCAUAAAGCAUGCAUUAUGUCACGUCCACAGCCACCGAGCAAAUAUGAGGCCAGCCUGGGGUACACGAGAGACCCUGUUUCAAAACAUAGACACCAAAACAAGACAACAAACAACAAACAAACAAAAAACCACAAAACAUUGUUAAGUGAGUUUGGGCUUGGGAUUAGGACCUGUUUUUUGAAUGGCCUUAAAUAUACCUCUGUCAUCCUGCUCCAUGGAUUUAUAUGAAGUGGCAUUCUCAGUACUGAUGACUGUCAAAUCAAAUUAUCAAUAACAAUGAAAAACAUCAAGGGCACUCUGUUCUUCAGGAUCAAUACUUGGCCGAUAUUCAGUCCCAUCCCUGCCCACGUCUGUUUUCAGGAGCUUAGUAGCCUAGGCUGGCCAUGAACUCACUGUGUAAAUGAGGAUGACUUUGAACUCCUGAUCCUUGUUUCUCUACUUCUCAAACGCUGGGAUUACAGGCCUGCCACACCUGACCGAGUUUAAAUUUAAAAAAGCAAGCCACAUAGAAAUUUGCUUUAGUUUUUAAUAACUUAUAAAAAUUAUAUAUGUAUGUCAAAUAAUACUUUUUGGUUGGUUGGUUGGUGGUUUUUCAAGACAGUUUCUCCAUGUUGCCUUUGCUGUCCUGGAACUCUCUGUAGACCAGGCUGUCCUCAAACUCAGAGAUCCACCUGCCUCUGCCCCACAAGCGUUCAGAUUAGAGGUGUGCACCACCACCACAGGCCAAAGAAGUCUUAAGGAGAAAGUUUUAGAAGCCUCGCUCUGAUGGAUUAAUUUAUAUUCCAUAUCCAUGAUACUUUCCUGCCCCAUUGAAAACUACACAAGAAGGCAAGGCUUUGCUGGGAAUCGGUAAUGAGGGAGGCACCACUUCAUGCACAAUCCCAUGGUCCAGACUGGACUGUGUUUACAGUACCUGGGAGAUGCUGACUCAACAGGGGCCAAAAGAAUUGGCAUAGCACCAGGCAUGGUGCCUCACUCAUUUAAUCCUAGCACUCAGGAGGCUGAGGCAGGCAGAUCUCUCUGAGUUUGAGGCCAGCCUGGUCUAUACAGUGAACUGCUAGCCAGCCAAAGCUACCUAGUGACACUCUGUCUCCAAAAAAAAAAAAAGUUAGGGGCUGGAGAGAUGGCUCACUGGUUAAGAGCACUGGCUGCUCUUCCAGAGGUCCUGAGUUCAAUUCCCAGCACCCACGUGGUGACUCACAGCCAUCUGUACUGAGAUCUGAUGCCCUCUUCUGGUGUGUCUGAAGACAGCUACAGUGUGCCUAAAUACAUAAAAUAAAUUGGUCGGCCUUUAAACUCUUUCUUCCAUAAGUUGCCUUUGUCAUGGUGUCUUAUCACAGCAAAGAGCGGCUCUAGGGGAGCAGACUCUUUUACGAAUCUGGAGUUGCUUUAAUAAUUCACCAGCACCUUCAACUACUGAGACCUCACCAGAUACUCUCUCUCCAGCAGCCACGGAGCUCAAGUUGCAGAAAAUCAAACAGAAGCCCUCAUUAUAAGGUUGGGUGAGUUACAACAAAAAUUGAAGUCUCAGCCUCAGAGAGGGUCAGCAGGUAAAGUAAGGGCAUUAACUGGCAAAGAAUGGGAUCCUAUAACUUGGGAUGGGGGUGACUGGGAGGACCCUGUUGAAGCAGAGAACUUUGAAUCUCGGGAUUCUCAAGGGUUUACCUGACCUGAGGUAGCAGUACCCUCAGCCCCACCCCUUGAAAUAAUGCCUUUCACAUGAGGAAAUUAAUCCCUCAGAGUGAUAAACCAGCAGGGACUUUCCAUGAAGAAAAUGCCAGACAAGACAGUGUUAAUGUUUCUCAAGGCCCACUAACAGUUUCUUCUAGACCCAUAACCAGACUCAAGGCAGAACAGGCCCCUAGAGGGGAGGUAGAAAGUGUAGUCCAUGAGGAAAUGUGCUACACUACUAAGGAGCUUAAUGAGUUUGCUAACGCAUCCAAGCAGAAGUCUGAGGAAUGUGUUUGGGAAUGGAUUUUAAGUGUGAAAUAAUGGUG